GGGAGGUAGUGACAAUAAAUAACAAUACGGGGUUCUUUAGGAUCUCGUAAUUGGAAUGAGUACAAUUUAAAUCUCUUAACGAGGAACAAUUGGAGGGCAAGUCUGGUGCCAGCAGCCGCGGUAAUUCCAGCUCCAAUAGCGUAUAUUAAAGUUGUUGCAGUUAAAAAGCUCGUAGUUGAAUUUCGGGGUCAGUAGGUUGGUCAUGCCACUGGUAUGUACUGUCAUUACUGGUUUCUCCCUUCUGAAGAACCUUGAUGUCAUUAAUUUGGUGUCUUGGGGAAUCAGGACUGUUACUUUGAAAAAAUUAGAGUGUUUAAAGCAGGCAUACGCUUGAAUACAUUAGCAUGGAAUAAUGAAAUAGGACGUUUGAGUCUAUUUUGUUGGUUUCUAGGAUCGACGUAAUGAUUAAUAGGGAUAGUUGGG
rnacentral:rRNA from 1 species